UUACUGGCAACGGUAGGGUGGGAAGGAAGCCUUAGCAAGUAUGGGGCACGUAGCGGGAGCGAACCGGGAGUGGCGCGGCAGGUGGGUAACCUUGCAAAAAGUGGGAAAGCCCAAAAGCCGGAUAACCUGCCACGUUAAAACGGACGGUGUCCCAUACAGGAAAGUU
rfam:Saprospiraceae bacterium KD52 Scaffold2_16, whole genome shotgun sequence.